UGGGGAAUCUUGGACAAUGGGCGCAAGCCUGAUCCAGCAAUGCCGCGUGAGUGAAGAAGGCCUUCGGGUUGUAAAGCUCUUUCGGCGGGGACGAAACGGUCCGUGACAACACCACGGACUAAUGACAGUACUCGCAGAAGAAGCACCGGCUAACUACGUGCCAGCAGCCGCGGUAAUACGUAGGGUGCAGGCGUUAAUCGGAAUUACUGGGCGUAAAGCGUGCGCAGGCGGCUCCUUAAGUCAGAUGUGAAAUCCCCGGGCUUAACCUGGGAACUGCGUUUGAAACUGAGGGGCUAGAGUGUGGAAGAGGGGGGUGGAAUUCCAGGUGUAGCAGUGAAAUGCGUAGAGAUCUGGAGGAACACCGAUGGCGAAGGCAGCCCCCUGGGCUAACACUGACGCUCAUGCACGAAAGCGUGGGGAGCAAACAGGAUUAGAUACCCUAGUAGUCCCUGAGCGGGCUGGCAAGGCGCAU
rnacentral:rRNA from 1 species